GUUGUAAUACCAGUUCCCAUACGAUCAUCCAAGUUAAGCAACGCCGCGCCUUGUCAGUACCUAGAUGGGUGACCGCUUGUGAAUAACAAGCACUGUAAG